rnacentral:misc_RNA from 1 species
CUGAGUCGUAAAAAACUCCCAAACCCAUGUGAACUUACCUAUGUUGCCUCGGCAGGUCCUGCGCGGUAUCUAUAUCCUGCAGCCUGCCGGUGGACAAUCUAACUCUUGUUAUUUUAAUGGAAAUCUGAGCGUCUUAUUAAAUAAGUCA